rnacentral:rRNA from 1 species
UACGUAGGAUGCAAGCGUUGUCCGGAUUUAUUGGGUUUAAAGGGUGCGCAGGCGGCCUAUUAAGUUAGUGGUGAAAACGUUCGGCUUAACUGGAUACCCGCCAUUGAUACUGAUAGACUUGAGUGCGACAGAGGGUGUUGGAAUGUGUGGUGUAGCGGUGAAAUGCUUAGAUAUCACGCAGAACACCAAUUGCGAAGGCAGAUGCCUAUGUCGUAACUGACGCUGAGGCACGAAAGCUUGGGGAGCAAACAGG